rnacentral:rRNA from 1 species
GUGCCAGCCGCCGCGGUAAUACGUAGGGCGCGAGCGUUGUCCGGAUUUAUUGGGCGUAAAGAGCUCGUAGGCGGUUUGUUGCGUCUGCUGUGAAAACGCGGGGCUUAACUUCGCGCGUGCAGUGGGUUCGGGCAGGCUAGAGUGCGGUAGGGGAGAUUGGAAUUCCUGGUGUAGCGGUGGAAUGCGCAGAUAUCAGGAGGAACACCGAUGGCGAAGGCAGGUCUCUGGGCCGUUACUGACGCUGAGGAGCGAAAGCGUGGGGAGCAAACAGGAUUAGAUACCCUGGUAGUCCACGCCGUAAACGAUGGAUACUAGGUGUGGGGGGCUAAGCCCUCUGUGCCGCAGUUAACACAUUAAGUAUCCCGCCUGGGGAGUACGAUCGCAAGAUUAAAACGCAAAGGAAUUGGCGG